rnacentral:lncRNA from 1 species
GGAGACAGAAAAAGGCCCAUUGAGCACAAGGGCUGAUUGUCGGAAAAUACACAAGUGGAAUCCCAGCAUCCUUAGCUAGAUCAGCAGCAAAACUGUAAAACCCAUCUGAUAUUAUGAAAGACACCGGCUUGGUUGACUUAGAACUGAGGUUUCCAUUGGUCAACAUCUCUAUGAAAAGUGGCCUCAUUACUUCCUCUAUACCAUUAGUAAUAUCCACAAACUUAUCAGCCGUCCGCGGAUGGUGUUGGUGCAGGCCAUCUGGGAUGGUUUCAAAACGAAAUCCAGGAUAAUUUUCAAACCGAGAUUGGACAUGGGUGUGCUUGAGCAGGCAGUUCUGGAUGUAGUCUGUGUUGAGGAAGGUGACAUGGAGUCCAUUAAUAGCCAAAAGCUCAGCUAGUUUGAGCAUACAAUUAACUGGACCUUGCAAUGGUAAGGGGAAAAUGAGUACAUGAGGAGAUUUUACUUUAUUAUUUCCCAUCUUAGAUCUUGUUCUUCCAACUGUGUUCAUUGUUAAUUAAACUACACUAGGGGAAUAUUUUCUUUUUCUUGGAGGACCCCUGCUGAUGCUGAUAUCUUUAUCUGUAUUUAUAUGAUUAUAUAUAAUGUAGAUAUAGGCUCGCGCUCAAGUGAAAACAAUCUUAGUUUUAUAUGGAUUUUCUAGUUUUUGUUCUCUAAUAUUACUUUUGGCACUUACAUGCUCCAAUGACUCACAUGUCACAUGUUCACUUUUAUUCGCCGUAAACAUAUGCAUCGGGGUGAUGAUGCUCUGUAUAAUAAAGGCACAAGCAAACAAAUACCUCUGCAGUUUCGAAUUGCAUUCCAGAACUCACAAAUAACUGAGUCAUUUGCCUGGUACUUUGGCACUCUGCAGUUGAGAAUUGCAUUCUGGAACUCACAAAUAACUACUUUGGCACUUUGCUGUACAUAUAUGAGCCAAGUGUCAUUUCUGUAACUUCUUACUCAUUUGUAGUUCACUUCUUUAACACUAAAAUGGCAGUGUCAGACUCAUAAAGCAUUGUGAUUCAGAUUCAUAUAGUUGAUUGCACAUAUGCGUUUGUAUUAGUAGUAACCAUGACAAUAUCUUCGAAAAGAAUUUUAGUCACAAAAUCUUUAUUACAAGCUGAUGGUCUGAAAUCAUACUGAAAAAUUGAUACAAGUAUAAAUAUAUUGCAGCUACUCAUGAGCUGGUGUCCUCUGUGUCAUCACCCUAAUGUCUUCAACCAAGCGAUUAAAACUGCAAUGGGCCAAUCCACUUUGGUCAGAAACACUCUGCCUAGCAAGUUUGGACAUCUUGGAAGCAGAACUCUCAAAUUCAUCUUUCUUAUCCUCCAUAAUUUCCCUCACUGCCUUUUCAAUUGUAACUCUGUCACAAGUGUCUUUCAUAUCGAUUCCAACCCUCCAUACUUCUUGUACAAACCUGCUGUUCACUUGUUGGUCGACGAAAUAAGGCCAACAAAUCAUUGGCACUCCCUCUACUAAACCCUCCAAGGUUGAGUUCCAACCACUGUGAGUCAAAAAUAAUCCAAUAGCAGGGUGUGCUAAAACUUCCUCUUGAAAUACCCAACUCACUAUACACCCCCUCUCCUUCGUAGCAUCAGAAAGUUCAGCCGGGAUUGCAUCAUCACCAUCUUUACCAGCAAUUGAUCCAGGUCGUUGAGGCCACAAAAACCGCUUUCCACUAUUCACUAUGCCAUGCCACAACUCCAUAAGCUGGUCUUUUGUCAUGACUGCAAGACUUCCAAUGCUAACAUAAAUCACCGAUUUUUGAGGCUGGGCGUCUAGCCAGGUCAUGCAGCUCUUGUCAUCUUCCCAUAGACUAUUAGAAGAAUUGUCUUGUGAUGAGCCUUUCUGAGCUGAAAGUAAAAUAGACUUGUGGAGCACAUGGAGAGGACCUAUGGAAUAAGUUUUUGGACAUAUAGUGCUUAGUUGGGAAACAAUAGGCCCGUCUAUGUGUUCAGAUGUGUUAAGUAUCAUUCCUUCGGAUCGUGGGAAUUCUUUAACCUCCUGCAGAAUAAGUUGAACUAUACGUUGGUUUAGGUCACUUGUGCGGAAAAAGCUGGGCAGAUCACGGUACCUCAGAAAAUUCUCACAUCCGAGCACACCCUUAACCUUUCUGUCAUAAUCCUCUUCUGAAAUUAUUUGACAGUUUUGAAGAUUGCAUCAGUUUGAAAGCAAUGGUAGUUAACAAGUUUAAAUGUAAGACACUUAAAUUAAACUGAUUUACUAUAACAAAAAAGACUACUUGAUGGACUUAUCAAUCAAAAUACUUGCCAAAAUUUCACCUUUCAUAUUGAGUUUUUUUAAAAAAAAUUUGAAUUUCUGAAGGACCAAGUUGUUGCAUCUAGUAAAGACUAUAUAUGUUACGACAGGCUUAAGAACAUGAAUCAUCUUACAGGUACCUGGAAAUUACAUAGUUUUUGCAGAAUUUGUGAUGAAUAUCUGAAAACAAAUUAAGUUAAGUUAUGUAUUUACCUUUAAAAGGAACCUCUCCCAGCUCAAUGAGCCUUGGAAGACAGAAAAAUGUCCAAAGAGCACAAGGGCUGAUCGUGUCGAAAUAAAUAAGUGGAAUCCCAGCACCCUUAGCUACAUCAACAGCAAAACUGAAGAAUCCAUCUGCUAUCAUGCAAGUCACUGGCUUGCUUGACUUGAAACUAAGCUUUCCAUAAGUCAACAUCUCUUUCAGAAGUGGCUUCGAUACUUCCUCUAUACCAUUAGCAAUAUCAAUGAAUUUAUCACCUGUCCGCGGAUGGCCUUCGGGCAGGCCAUCCGGGACGGUUUCAAAGUUAAAUCCAGGAUAAUUUUGGAACCGGGACUGAAUAUUGGUGUUUUUGAGCAGGCAGUUGUGGAUGUAGUCUGUGUUGAGGAAGGUGACAGCAAGGUGGUUAAGAGCCAAAAGCUCGGCGAGUUUGAGCAUGCAAUUCACAGGUCCUUGUAGUGGCAAGGGGAAGAUGAGUACAUGGGGAGAUUCUGCUUCAUCCUUGCCCAUCUCAAAGGUUUUUCUUUCCACUAUGCUUAGUCAAUAUUGGUUAAGGUUUUUUCUAAAACCCCUUCCAUUCAUUUCUAUACAGUUUUUUCAUUAUUUGGCAUGCAUGUUUAUAAAAUAUAAUUUUUUAAUUUAUAUUUAAAAAGUUUUGUUUCUAAAUGAAAUUUAAAUAUUAAAUUUUUUUAUUCAUUAAAAACAAUUCAAAGUAAAUUAUAAAAUUAUAUUUUGUAUUUUAUAAAAAAAAUAGAAUACAUGUCGAGCCCUAACUCAAUCACAAAAUAUGUUUUAUUAUUUGUCCCAAGACAUUAAUUAUAUUACUUAAAGUUGUCCGGUUUUAUUUAAGUAUUAUUUUUGAAUCUUAUUUUAGUAUUAUUGAGUUGCCUCGGCCCUUGAGCAACCUUGACUCUAAAUUAAAAAAACAAAACAAAACAAGAAUUAAUACUAUACUCCCUCCGUCCCAUUGGAUUGUAUACAGUUUCCUUUUUGGGACGUCCCACCAAUUGUAUACAUACCAAAAAUACAUACUUAGGAUGUGUAAUUCUGCGGUUAAUUUGAAAAAAUAUCGACGAGGAUAUUAAGCAUACAUCUACAUAGAAUUAAUAGUUAGCAUAGUGUUCAUAUCUGGAACAGUAUCUUUAAUUUAUCCUAACUAUCCAGCAGAAAGGCAUGUAGAUAAAAAUCAAAGCAAGUACUCACCUUUGAAAGGAACCUCUGCUAACUCAAUGAGCCUUGGGAGACAGAAAAAGGCCCAUUGAGCACAAGGGCUGAUUGUCGGAAAAUACACAAGUGGAAUCCCAGCAUCCUUAGCUAGAUCAGCAGCAAAACUGUAAAACCCAUCUGAUAUUAUGAAAGACACCGGCUUGGUUGACUUAGAACUGAGGCUUCCAUUUGUCAACAUCUCUAUGAAAAGCGGCCUCAUUACUUCCUCUAUACCAUUAGUAAUAUCCACAAACUUAUCAGCCGUCCGUAACAGCUAUAACAGCUAGUGCAAUCCCUGUAAUCAUGGAACUGACUAUAGCAAUACGUGUGCAUAUCUUAAGCAUUUAAUUAUGUAACAUUUUUAGAGUCUGGAUCCACAAUCAGUGGAGUGCUUCUAGCAAUAGACUCUUAACUUCUUGUAUAUAUAUUUACACUCAGGCAUGAGCAAUGAAAUAACAAAAAGACACAAUUCCUUUAUGGUAUCAGAGCCUAAAGCUUAACUGCAUCCGGUCCUUAUUCUCCUUUCUUUUCUGCUUUACACCAUCAACUACAAAACACUACCUACACUAAUAUGUCUGGUUCAUCUGAUCUUAUCCCAGUGCACACUUCAACGCAUUUUCCCACGAUGCUAUCCCAAAAUAAUUUUGCAGUCUGGCGCACACAGAUCAUGUCAGUCCUCACAGGUCUCGGACUCCUUGGCUAUAUCGACGGCACUGUCUCUGCACCAUCUCAAUUCUUAACAGCAGACAAACCCAACCCAGCCUUUAUCACUUGGAAUCGUCAAGACAAAUACAUACUAGGUGCCUUAUUGGGAAGCUGCCAUGAAACCAUCCAACCCUUAAUCUCUACUGCCAACACAGCCAAACAAAUGUGGGAUCAGUUAGUUACUCUUUUCGCUAACAAAUCACGUUCUCGCAUCAUGUCACUCAAAACUCAUCUCAUGAACAAUCCAUGCAACGCCCGCAAUAUGUCUGACUAUUUACGUGACAUCAGAAUCACAGCUGAUGAAUUAGCAAUUGCUGGACAACCUGUAUCGGAUGAUGAUCUUGUUAUUCUCACUCUGUCUGGAUUGGGGGAUGAAUAUCGAAACAUUAAGGAUGCUAUGUCUGUUCGGGAAGCCCCGUUAACAUUUGGUGCCUUACAUGAACAAUUAAUUGAUUAUGAACGAGGACUCAAGUCUAAAGCAUCAGAACCAGUGAUUGUCACAGCAAACUACACACACAAGCCUCUCAACCAUAAUCGCAGUACACAAUCUGCGCAACGGGGUAGAGGAAACUACAAUCCCAAUCGAUAUCAACAGCAGUCUUUUAAUCGACAACAUGGAACUUCACCAACAUAUGUCUCUGGGAAUCGUCCUUAUUGUCGCUUCUGUCAACGUUCAGGGCAUGACACUAAAGAGUGUCGUCAAUUAUCUCGCUUUCUUAAGGACAAUGGCAUCCAAACUCCAUCAAGUGUACCAAGAGUUUCACCAUCAGUUAAUGCUACAUCAACUCAUAGCUCUCAACCACAACAAUGGCUCUUUGACACAGGGGCUUCUCACCAUAUCACCAAUGAUCCAGCCAAUUUAACUACGUAUUCGGAUUAUGGUGGUCCAGAUGAAAUACUUCUUGGAAAUGGUUCAGGUUUGCCAAUUACACACACAGGCACCUCACAGUUAGUUACACCUAAAAAAUCACUCAAGCUUUCCAAUGUUCUUUGUGUCCCUUCUCUACAAAAAAAUCUUGUCUCUGUCGCAAAGUUCUGCUUGAAUAAUCAUGUGUCUGUUGAAUUCUUUCCAUCGCAGUUUCUAGUCAAGGAUCUCAAUACGGGGGCGAUCCUACUCUGCGGAGAGAACAAAAAUGAUGUAUACUAUACAUCACACCAGUCCAUUCCUCAAGUCCAUGCUACUGAAUGUUCCAGUCUUGCUUCAUGGCAUCAUCGUCUCGGGCAUCCUCAUACCAAGAUUUUCCGAUGCAUGUUGGAGUCGAAUAAACUAGUUUCCAAUAUUCCUUCUGAUUUUUCUUUAAGUUGUCACUCUUAUCUUUGUAAUAAAAGUCGAAAGCUUCCUUUUGGAGUUUCUUCCAUGUCAAGCUCGAAACCUCUUGAUUUAAUAUAUUCCGAUGUUUGGGGACCUACGAUCACUUCCUCUGAUGGGUAUCGUUAUUAUGUUAUUUUUGUUGAUCAUUUCACUCGCUAUAUAUGGUUGUAUCCUCUUAAAAACAAAUCAGAUGUGAAAGAUACUUUUAUCCUGUUCAAGAAUAUCGUGGAAAAGUUUUUUCGACGAUCAAUCAUCUCUUUAUAUUCUGAUAAUGGUGGAGAAUAUAUUGCCCUGAAAUCAUUCCUCCAAGCAAAUGGUAUUUCUCAUUUUACAUCUCCUCCUCAUACACCCGAGCAUAAUGGUUUUGCUGAAAGAAGGCAUGGCCAUAUUGUUCAAACUGGUCGUACACUAAUGCACCAUGCCAAUCUUCCUCUAAAAUAUUGGUCCUAUGCUUUUGAGACAGCAGUGUAUUUAAUAAAUCGGAUGCCCACAAAAACAGCUCCACAUAUGUCCCCCUUUGAGUCUUUGUUUAAUAAAAAACCAAACUACAGUAGACUUAAAAUAUUUGGUUGUACUUGUUACCCCUGGUUAAAACCAUACUCUUCCUCCAAAUUAGAUCCAAAUUCCACUCCCUGUGUGUUUUUAGGUUAUUCCACUUCAAAGUCAGCUUAUAGAUGUCUUGACCUGUCUCAUAAUAAGAUAUAUUUUUCCCGUCAUGUGCGCUUUGUGGAAAAUAAAUUCUUAUUUCAGGUUCCUCCUCCGCAGUCCUCAUCAGCCCCUGCUAUUGUGGAUCCUCCAGGUACUUCUCCGACCUCUUUGUCAUUUUCAUCACCAUCUAAUGUGUCGAUGCCACCUCAGGUACCACCCUCGAUUGUUCAACCACCACCUAGUCUCUCAGCAUCUCACACUCCGGAGAACCCCUCUGUCCAGACUCCACAUGUUCCACCAAGUUCUUCACCCUCCUAUUCCACUGAUGCUCCAUCUCCAUCCAUCUCAAGUGAUUCAAGCUCCACCACAGACACUACACAAUCUACACCAGACACUACACAAUCUAUACCAGACACUACCAUCCAUCGUCCCGGUCGCAAUCGUGUGCCUAAUCCAAAAUACUACAACUCAUCCUUCGUUAAUCACACAACCAUGCACCCUUUAACUCCUUCAUUGGAACCCUCAUCAGUUACUCAGGCCUUAAAAGACCCUCACUGGAGACAAGCUAUGUCUUCCGAAUUUGAUGCAUUGAUUCAAAAUGGAACAUGGGAGCUCGUUCCAAAAACAACUCAGCAUGUUAUCUCUUGCAAGUGGGUGUUUCGUGUAAAAAGAAAUCCGGAUGGCUCUAUCAAUAAAUAUAAAGCUCGCCUUGUUGCCAAGGGCUUUCAACAAAGGCAAGGAAUCGACUUUUGUGAAACUUUUAGCCCUGUAACAAAGCCGGCAACGAUCCGCAUUGUGUUGAGCCUUGCCCUUACCAAUGGUUGGCCCCUAAGACAGUUGGACAUCAACAAUGCGUUUUUGAACGGAAAUCUGAAAGAAGAAGUUUACAUGGUUCAACCACCUGGCUUUCUUCAUCCAAACUUUCAGAAUUAUGUUUGUCGAUUACGCAAAACCAUUUAUGGAUUACGCCAGGCUCCACGAGACUGGUACAUGGCUCUCAAAAAAUUUCUACUCCAAUUUGGUUUCAAAAACUCAGUUGCGGACACCUCACUGUUUAUUUACAAUCAGCAUGGUAUGAUUCUCAUAUUUCUCGUGUAUGUUGAUGAUAUAGUGCUAACCGGAAAUUGUAUGUCCUUUUUGAAUACUUUUGUAUCUCAACUAGACAAGCAAUUCUCUUUAAAGGACUUGGGGGAUCUACAUCACUUUCUCGGUGUCGAAGUAAUCUCUCUGCCAUCUGGCCUAUUCUUGUCACAAGCAAAACACAUAUCUGAUUUACUUACCAAGUAUAGGUUGGACGGUGCCAAAGAAACAUUGACCCCUAUGUCAUCUUCCACAUCUCUUAUUUUAGAAGAUGGCAGCCAAAGAAUUGACCCAACUCCAUACCGACAGCUUGUAGGUAGCCUACAGUAUCUCUCUAUUACGAGACCUGACAUUUGUUAUGCUGUCAACCGUCUGUCUCAAUUUAUGCAUGCUCCUUCGGUAACUCAUUGGUCUGCUCUUAAGCGUGUGCUGCGUUAUCUGAAAGGCACAAUCCAUUUUGGCCUAUUUUUGAAUCGCAAUGCCAAGUUCAAUCUUUCAGCCUUCAGUGACUCAGAUUGGGGUGGUGACCGUGACACAGGCCGCUCAACUACUGGCUACAUCAUUUAUUUGGGUUCAAAUCCCAUCUCCUGGAAGUCUAGCAAACAAAAAUCAGUUUCGAGGUCCUCCUCCGAGGCAGAAUAUAAGGCUGUGGCUAAUGCAGCAUCAGAGGUACUGUGGAUCAACCAGUUGCUGCAAGAAUUAUCCAUACGGGCUUCUUCACCUCCCAUCAUUUAUUGUGAUAAUACAGGGGCUCAAUAUCUUAGUUCUAAUCCAGUUUUUCACUCCAGGAUGAAACAUAUAUCCCUCGAUUAUCAUUUUGUUCGUGAGCGUGUUGCAGAUGGUACAUUUAGUGUACGUCAUGUUCACACCAAAGAUCAGUGGGCAGAUAUACUAACCAAGCCACUACCGAAACAAAGUUACACACUCAUUCGCAACAAGCUGGGAGUCGCAAAUGGCGCCUCCAUCUUGCGGGGGCGUAACAGCUAUAACAGCUAGUGCAAUCCCUGUAAUCAUGGAACUGACUAUAGCAAUACGUGUGCAUAUCUUAAGCAUUUAAUUAUGUAACAUUUUUAGAGUCUGGAUCCACAAUCAGUGGAGUGCUUCUAGCAAUAGACUCUUAACUUCUUGUAUAUAUAUUUACACUCAGGCAUGAGCAAUGAAAUAACAAAAAGACACAAUUCCUUUAGUCCGCGGAUGCUGCUCUUGCAGGCCAUCUGGGAUAGUUUCAAAACGAAAUCCAGGAUAAUUUUCAAACCGAGAUUGGACAUGGGUGUGCUUGAGUAGGCAGUUUUGGAUGUAAUCUGUGUUGAGGAAGGUGACAUGGAGUCCAUUAAUAGCCAAAAGCUCAGCUAGUUUGAGCAUACAAUUAACUGGACCUUGCAAUGGUAAGGGAAAAAUGAGUACAUGAGGAGAUUUUACUUCAUCAUUUCCCAUCUUAGAUCUUGUUCUUCCAACUAUGUUCAGUUGUUAAUUAAACUACACUAGGGGUAUCUUUUCUUUUUC